AUUAAGCAAGUGCUGUAAUUUUCUCCAGUUGACAAAUGAGGAAAUCGAUACUCAGAGAGCUUCAGAGAGUUGCUCACUCAGUUAAUAAGAGAUUGUAUUUGUCAAAAUAUUCUAGGUUAUGCUACAGUAAUCAAUAAUCCUCAAAGCCCACCAAAUGGUGCUCAAAUUCCAUGCCUUAAAGCAACAGAAAAUUAUUCCUUAUGUGUACUACUAGCUCAUGUAAUCACUCAAAGACCCAGACUGAGGGAGGCUCCACCAUUUUGAAGCCUCACAAUGUGGGAACGUGGCCCUUGGUUGCCAUGGCAGUGAAGAGAAUGCUGGAGCAGUUAUAUUCUGGAAAUGAUAUACAUCACUUCUGCUUACAGCACAUUGGCCAAAACUUGUCACAUGGUCCUGCCUAAUGGCACACUGGCGAGCUGGUACUCCUCCCUACACCUUGACGAAGAGGUGAACCAAAAUGGCUGACUAAUCAAAGUUACUAUGUCAGAGGCAGACUUUGAGCUCUUCACCACCAUCUGAUACUAUUGCCCUUGAGAAGAAUGAUCUCCUGCUGGAUGAGAGGAUCACAGUGGCUGUGUGGAGCUUCAUUAUUCAUUCUCCUCCAUCCAUCUUAAUCCUACCAUGCCUGUCACUGGAUCCCAAAGAGGCACAAUUAGGACCUCCCCUCAGGAGUCCUUCUGGCCUCUGCCCAGCUCCUAUGCUGUUCAAGACCAAUACUUGAUGCCCAGUGGCCCACGUUUUUUAACCUUUGGGAUUCAUGUGAUCAGCACCCACACAGCUGGGAAUCACUGAGUCACAGGCUGAGCAGCUGCUUGCAUCUUUUCUGCCUGGAAACAAGAUUUGUAGGGCAGAGUGGAUCUGCCUCCCACCCUUCUGGCAGGCUCCUGUGGCUCUCGGCAUUCCUGCUGCAAAGCCUUGUGAAGCACGUCUUUAACUUCUCAGAGAAGUGUUUAACAAAUGUCACCAUCCAGAGCUGACAGGCACAGUGGUCUUAGACCUGGAAGCCUCAGAUAUGAACAUCUUGGCAGGAAUCUCCAUCACGUUUCUGGAUAUGGGUUUGGAAUGUGUUCACCGACCUGCCCUUUACAAUUCAUUGAUUUUUGGGUUUGUUUACUUUUUCAACUCAUUCUCCAGGCAAGACGCAGUUUCUUCCUCCAGGUAAGAUGCAGUCAACAGCGAGAGAGGCUAAGAAGAGUCCAAGGGAAAGAUGUGUUUGCAAACAUUGCUUUUGGAUAGAACACUCUUUUUCUAGAACAAGUAGAGAAAGAGGGAGUUUAAAAAGUCAACAUAAUACCGAUAGGAGACAAAUAAUUGAACACAAAGAAAACAGAAUUUAUCCUUGAAACUGAAAGAACAGCAUACCUCUGGAAGUUACCUUCUAUAGGAAGCAGCAGGAUUAAAACAAACACAACUCUUUGUUCCUCAAUCUUCUCCUUUUAACCUAGUCUUUCCUCCUGGUUUUUUCAUUUCGUUUCAUAGAGUCCAAGUUGUUUUUAUAUCCUUUGUGUAGAGCAAAGUCAAUGAACAGAGAACAUAAAGGAUAUUAAAGAAAUAACUGCAAAGAAACAGAACUUGGAGUGCUAGAAAUGUCUUUCUUGGAGAUGGUAAAGAAUGGAAUGGACACUGUAGAAAUGGAAUCAGUAAUGUCGAACAACCUGAAGAAACUCCCAGAAUGGAGAGAGAAAGCUUAAAGAGAAUGAGAAAAGAGAAAAAGGAAAAUGACUGAUAUGGAGGAAAGAGAACAAAGACCCAAUAAAAGAAUUAUGGACAUGUUUUUAUAGCAGAAAACAAAAAGUCCACUCAUUAAUGAUUAUUGGUGUAAAAAUCAUCCAUGAAAAUGGUAGUAAAUUGCGCUCCUGGAACAUCAAUCCCUGGUUAAUAAAUUUCAAAAUUCUCAAUUCAAAUAAGAAAUUAAGAAUUUUUUGAGCCCGAUUAUGAUAAAUACUAAAAAAUUUUCCUAAAAAGAUACAAAGUAAGAUUUGGAUAGAUACUCCUGGCCAGAAGAUCAGAUGGUGUAAAGAUAUACAUUCUUCCUAUGUUAUAUCAUGAUUUAAAUAGUUUUAAUAAAAAUCCUAACAGUAUGGGCUAAAGCAAAUCUAACAUUUGAAAAAGUGAAUCUAACAUUUAUCUGGAAGCAAAAAUGGUGCAAGUAGCCAGGACAUUUUUUUUAAGAGCUAUUAUAAUAGAUUGUAAUCAAAACAGCAUGGCGGUGGUAGAACUUGAUAGGCAGAGAAUGCACCGAGAAGAUGUCCCAGCAUUAUUUAAUGAUUCUUUCUCCUCUAAUUUCGAAUGCCAAAUUUAAUCAUAAACUCACUCUUCUAUAUAUAUACUAAAGUCUAUUUUUGGGAUAAGUGGUUAACAAUAUGAAAGAAAGUUGGCAUCCUUUCUCAAAGCAUACACCACAAUACAAAGACCAAAAGGACUAAAUAGUCAAAUGCACAAAAGGAAGCCAAAAUAAAAUAUGGAUGGCUGUAUCUCUGAUCUUGAGCUUGGUUUAGUUUGUCUAUGUAUAAUGAGAUGGGGAAAAUUUUAUUCACCACAAUUCCACUUAUGAAUGGAACUCAUUUGUGGGAGAAAGUUCAUGAAGUAGAAAGGGAGACAGUAGAGGGUCUGAGUAAUAAACAUUGCUCUGUGGGAGACAAGAAGAAUUUCCCUGAUACUCUAACAAAGAAAGGAGAAGGGAGACAAAGGGAAGCAAAAGGAAGUAAAACAAAGGAAGCCAUCAUGAUGUGUGUGGAGGGGAAGAGGAAGUAGUGUCUAGAAGCAACAAGACGUUGAACUGUUACCAACUGCCAAAUUGGAGUCUGGGCGGGUUUUCAGCAGUCUCUAUAGGGCAGGAGGUGCCCGUCAAGGAUCUGGGUUAAAUGAGUGUAAAAGCAGUGGAGGAAAUCUCGAAGAGGAGCAAUUGGCAGAUUUUCUAACGUCAGAUUAGAAAUUUUUGUACAUCAGGGUUUAUAAACUACAAGGGAUCAAAUCUGGCCAUUCCCUUGAGUUUUUGUAUUAUCUGUCUCUGUUUUCCAGCUACCAUGGCAGCAUUGAGAAGUCGUGAUGGAGAACAUAUGGCCCACAAAGGCUAAAAUAUUUACUAUCUGGCCCUUUAAAGAAAAACUUUGCUAAUCCAAGCUCUACAUAAAAAAUAUCACAAUUAAAAGGCAAACUCAGAGAGGCUGGCCUGAUGGCAUAGCGGUUAAGUGCACGUGCUCUGCUUCAGCGGCCUGGGGUUGGCAGGUUCAGAGCCUGAGUGUGGACCAAGCACCGCUCGGUCAAGUCACACUGUGGCGGCAUCCCACAUAAAAUAGAGGAAGACUGGCACAGAUGUUAGCUCAGUGACAACCUUCCUCACCAAAAUUAAAAAAAAAAAGGCAAACUCAGAAACAAAAUGAAAUACUUGACACAAAUAGACUAAAGCAAACAAUAAUACCCUAAGUCUGCAAAGGGCUCUUUUAAAUUUAUUGAAAAACAGUCAGUUGGCAAUAGGCAGAGGACAUGAAUAGACAGUUCGUUGAAGAAAAAUACAAAGGUAUCAACACAUGAACCAAUGGAAGUCUGGCCUCACUAGGGAGCAAUCAAGGGACAGUGGAAUCAACCACAAUCAUGCCACAGUGUUUGGAGUAAGGAUGUUGUGAUGUGGACAGCUUCCCAUACUGUCGGUUGGAACACAUUAGAACCCUAAAAUAACGACACAAAGGUUACACCCUUUGAUCCAGAAAUUCCACUUCUGAGAAGCUAUCUUGAGAAACUAUUUGCAGAUACAAAUAUGUAAAGGACACUUCCUUGGAUUCAGCCUUCCCAGGCCAACUUGCCAAAUUAAUGAGGAAUAAAGCUUCCGUCUACUCAACAGCUACCACCCUCUUCCCAUGGAUCGCGACUGAAAUGUACUGCUGCAAUGCCAUUCACGGCCUGGGAUAAAAAGAUGAGAAACUGAGGCCUGGAGAAGGCCCCACAGAUGGUUGAGGAGAGCCAGAUCAUGAACCAACAUCAUGGCACAUCUCGCCUGAAGAACCCACACCAGUUCCAGAGCCUUCAGGAAGUCCUUCCCAUCUACUCACUUCUUCCUGCCUCCAGUGGUUCUGGAAGAAUUCAGAGAAUGCCUCAUUUGCAGGGCUAAAAGAAGCCUAUGGAGGCUUCCAUUCCUGUCCUGGGCAUGUAGGCACAAACAAGAGUCAUCUCUACCCCCAGUAAGAAGGGUUACUGCAUAAGUGAGCACAACAGAAGAGAAGCCUGCCCAAGGCCUCCCCAGAGAUUUGGCUUUCUGCGUCCUGAAAAUUGGUUUCACCUAAGCCAAGAAACCAGUUAUCAGAUGGGAAUGGCAUUCUGUCAUCCCAGCCUGGGUCACCAGACGCCUAGAGGUGAGAGUCUUUGGGACAUAUUUCCCUGAUUAAACCAUCAUGGCAUCCUUCUGACAUGUAAGUGUGGAAGAAAGGAAUGUGUUACCGGGACCCAGUGAACAAAUCUUUUUAUAGCAUGACGUUGGACAUGAGGAUGUGGAUGCCUGAACACUAACAACACUUCAGUAAAGAACUAUCUUCAGUAGAGGCCCUCCCAAAUGCCAUCCCACAGUGACACAGAGGGAACAGUCUGAAGAAACUGCAAAGAGCUGCAUUAUUUGUAAGCAGAAAGUGGGAACCAGUUUGUAUCACAGCUGCUGAGGACAGAACAAAAACAAGUGGGCCUGAGAAGAUCAGAAGGAAAUAUGGGCCAACGGAGACUGCAGACUCUCUGUUUCCCAUUGUAGAUUUUUAAAACAUGAUAGUUUCUUCUAUCUGGGGAACUAUUUAAUUGUGGUCACUUUUGAAGGCAGAAGCCUAGUCUCCAGUUGGGGGAAUGGGACCAAUAUGGAUAAUAUAGCUUAAUCUGAUGCAGUCAAGAAGGGGUGGAGCAAGGAAAUGAAUAUUUAUUGAUUGUCUAUGAUGUGCUAGUCAUUUUUCAAUCAUUGACUUAUUUAAUCUUCCAAACCACACCAGGAGGUUGCUAUGACUAUCUCUCCCUUUCAAAACAGGAGGAUGGGGCUCAGGAAGCUAAGGGAACCUACAACCAAGGAGAGGUGGGAAGCGGAUCAGGGCUUUGAAGUCUUUUCUUACUAAGAACAAGGACAACCCCCAACCUCAGAUGCCAAUCAGUACAAUUAUGUUAUGAAAUUAAAUAUUUUCUUAAAAAGAAAAAGCAAGGAGGCAGCCUCUGGUAUAUAGUUUAUCUGCCAAGCACCAGUGCCUUUCCGUGGUUCUGACUCAGAGACUGCUUCCAUGGCCUUCUAGGCAAAGAACCUAGAGUUUUCUGCAUCCCUAUGCCCACCUCUGCCUGAUCCUUUU
rnacentral:lncRNA from 1 species